AAUACAAAAAUAUGGCAGUCUUUAUUCUAUGCUACAGUUAACAAAAGAUUCUAAAACCGCUGGCCAGAAAUGCUGUUUCCAUACCCAAACUGAAAAGCAAGGGGAGAGAUUCAGGGAAGUCCAAACAUGCUAAAUAGGAGAACUCGUUCAUAGCAGCACAUGUACGACAUCAGCACAAGAGAUAAAACAGAGCCUCUUCCACCGUGUGAAUCAAUAGUAGGCUCCUUCUCUUUUGGGGGAUCUCCCCGUGUCCUUGCAGGGAUGACUUUGAUGAGAGCAGUGCCGUGAGCACAGCCAGGAGACCUGCAGGAACACACACCUCCGGAGGCGUGGAUCCCACUGCAUGGUUUUCAACCUGGGCUAAGGCUGGUGACAGCCAACCUUUCAUGAGUUACACCUUGAUGUAGGGAUGCUCGCAUCAAGCCUCCUGGUCAAUGACACUGUGAGAAUUCAGAUUCCCAAUUUCCCUCCCUCCUUUUCCCCUCUUGAUUUUCUGAUUUUAGCAGUGAUCCAAACAGUUAUCCUUCUUCUCUUAACACAUCCUCAGAUAACAAGGCUUUUGCCAAGAAGAAAUCAGAGCAUGUGGGCCUCCCACCAUCGAAUGGACAUCAUCCCAAAGGCAAAGCUGAUUGUUUGUCCGCACCCUGUGAGAGUUCACGGAUGGCUGCACGGUUGUCGGUCUUGGGAGCUCUCCAGUGAGUGAGUCUGCAUGUUUCCAAUGUCCACCCUGCUGGUGCUUCCAAAUUAGGGGUUUGACUUUCCCUAUUGUGACUUGAAGGAUGUUUUUGGCUUUUACCUGCACAGGAUUAGAGUGCCCUCUACUCUGCGCUUGUGAGACCUCACCUGGAGCAUUGUGUGCAGUUCUGGUGUCCUCAACAUAAAAAGGACAUGGAACUGUUGGAACAAGUCCAGAGGAGGCCACGAGGAUGAUCAGGGGACUGGAGCACCUCCUGUAUGAAGACAGGCUGAGGAAGUUGGGGCUGUUCAGCCUGGAGAAGAGAAGGCUGCGUGGAGACCUCAUAGCAGCCUUCCAGUAUCUGAAGGGGGCUAUAGGGAUGCUGGGGAGGGACUCUUCAUUAGGGACUGUAGUGACAGGACAAGGGGUAAUGGGUUAAAACUUAAACAGGGGAAGUUUAGAUUGGAUAUAAGGAAGAAGUUCUUUACUGUGAGGGUGGUGAGGCACUGGAAUGGGUUGCCCAGGGAAGUUGUGAAUGCUCCAUCCCUGGCAGUGUUCAAGGCCAGGUUGGACAGAGCCUUGGGUGGCAUGGUUUAAUGUGAGGUGUCCCUGCCCAUGGCAGGGGUGUUGGAACUAGAUGAUCUUCAGGUCCUUUCCAACCCUAACUAUUCUGUGAUUCUACGAUUCUAAAUCAGGGGUCAUAAACAGGCAACAACAAACCAAAUCCAGUUCCUUUUAAAUAAAAUGUUAACAUUCCUUUCAUUCUCAGUGAAGAGACAGCCAACACAGUUUUCACCACUGGCACAGGAAGGAGAGGUCCUGGGAUUUCCAGUCCAGUUCUGCUUGAUACCAUUUUUUGGUGGUGGUGUGCUGGUUUGGGUGGGAUAGAGUUAAUUUUCCUCAUAGUAUCUAGCAUGGGGCUAUUUUUGGAUUUGUUGAUAGUGCAGAGGUGAUAUAGUUACCGCUGAGCCAUGCUUACACAGCAUCAAGGGCUGUUCUGCUCCUCACCAAUGAGUAGGCUGGGUGUGCACAAGGACCUGGGAGGGGACACAGCCAGGACAGCUGAUCCUGACUACCCCAAGGGAUAUCCCAUGCUGCAUGACAUCAUGCUCAGCAGUAAAGCCGAGGGAAGAAGGAAAAGAGGAAUAUUGGGAGUGAUGGUGUUUGUUUUCCCAGGUAGCCAUUGUGCCUGAUGAAGCCCUACUGUCCUGGAGGUGGCUGAACACCUCCCUGCUCAUGAAAAGGGAGUGGAAGAGCCUUAGUUGUUGUCUGGGGUUAAACCAUGGCAGAGGAGAUCCUGGCAUUCAAACUGUAUCCUACUUCUUUCUGCUUUGACCUCCAAAAUAUAAAUGUACCCUGGCCCUGAGGACAUCCACAUCUGGAGCUAGCUCUGAACUUCAUGGUGGCCCCUGUAAUAACAUCAAACCUCUAGAUAGCAACAGCUGUGAUCUUGGAGAAAGUCAGAUUUAACCGCUUGCUGCACAGCGCUGCUCAUCUCAGCCAGAAAUGAAAGUAUUAAUGACAGCUUCUGCCUUGUGAUUUUUGGUUUUGGGGAAGGAAAAAAGUGGAAUCCACCUUACAUUGCUACACAGCAUCUAUCUGUUUUACUGCAUAUGUUAGGUAUUGUUACGUACUACCAUGAAGUACAAGUAUAAUAGACUAUAUGUAACAAAUACUUCCGAGAGAGCAAAGCCCAUGACAUAAAGAAGUAAUUGCUAUACCCUUAACUUUUGAUAAUCUAUGAUGAUAAUAAACCCAUCUGGUGGGUGUUUUCUCUGUCACUCAUACAGUCACAUCAACACACAUUAUGCUGCUGGCACAAAAGAGCUCCAGUGACAUUGGUUCCAGAGGGUGGAAAAAGCCCGUAAGAAACAGAAGAGAAGGUUUUCCACACCUGAGGAAGGUCAACACAAAGUCUGAAAGAAAUCAGAGCUGAGUUUCUUUGCUAGGGGAGGAGAAGGCGGCUUUCAAAGCGCUGUUUCAUCUGAUACAUGCCAUUUCGGCACAGGUUAGAGUAGCCCUCGGGCACACAUACCAGCUGCGUGCAGCAGGAGCGCAGCGAACACCCACAGUGCCACCUCUGUUUCCCUCAGUCCUUCUGCCGCUGUCUCCUUCUUUGUAAGGCCAGCAAGGUCAUCUGCAGCUUUCAGGAGCUUCCCUGGGUCUGGCCACUGUUUACCCCCUGUUCUUGGGACAGCUACCAGAAACCUCUGUAGGCUUUGAAUGAGAGCAUCAAUCAGCUCAUCUCUCGUGACUGCUUUGAAGUAGUUGGAAGGCUGAUGCCUGAAAGCCAUAGUGGGAGGCAGAGGGAGAAAGAUGAAAGGGACCAGGGCAGGAAGGAGGUGAGAUUGAUCUUUGUGUGUUUGAGAGAAGCUUGAAUAAAGGUGCUCCCAAACACCCCGAGGGAGAUGUCCUGGGCAGCCUGCAGUAUCCUCAGGGGCUGUAUUACAGAGUGGCCUUUUUCUGAGGAGAAUACAUGAAAAGCAUGUGGGAGAGACCUUGUUUUCCCACAGGCCAGACUGAGUCCUCGGAAGAGCCAUAGCACGCUGGCUGAGGCUGGCUGGCUAGAGCACUUCCUUGGUAUGCAGACUUUAGCUUGGCAGGAAGACUUUGUUGCGCCUGGGAUGCCAAACAAUUUGAACAGACUCCAUCCCCAUUGCUGAAGUGCUCUCUGCCUGCCUCUGGGAAGUACAUGAAGUGUGCUGCUUAGCUCUUCCCAUUC